AACGAACGCUGGCGGCAGGCCUAACACAUGCAAGUCGAGCGCGCCUUCGGGUGCGCGGCGGACGGGUGAGUAACGCGUGGGAAUAUGCCCUUCUCUACGGAAUAGUCCUGGGAGACUGGGGGUAAUACCGUAUACGCCCUUUGGGGGAAAGAUUUAUCGGGGAAGGAUUAGCCCGCGUUGGAUUAGGUAGUUGGUGGGGUAAUGGCCUACCAAGCCGACGAUCCAUAGCUGGUUUGAGAGGAUGAUCAGCCACACUGGGACUGAGACACGGCCCAGACUCCUACGGGAGGAAGCAGUGGGGAAUCUUAGACAAUGGGGGCAAGCAUGAUCUAGCCAUGCCGCGUGAGUGAUGAAGGCCUUAGGGUUGUAAAGCUCUUUCAGCUGGGAAGAUAAUGACGGUACCAGCAGAAGAAGCCCCGGCUAACUCCGUG
rnacentral:rRNA from 1 species